rnacentral:lncRNA from 1 species
AUGCCGCAGCAGAGCACAGCUUGGCUGUCUGCACANGCCGCAGCAGAGCACAGCUUGGCUGUCUGCACAGCGAUGCCACGGCAGAGCCUGGUCCCGCGUGGGGAUGCCCGGCAGAGCACAGCUCGGCUCCUGCAUGGCAGUGCCCUGGCAGAGCCUGGUCCCRCAUGGGGAUGCCCGGCAGAGCCUUGUCCAGCUGACUGCGUGCGGAUGCCCUGGCAGCGCACAGCUCAGCCGCCUCCGGGGAGGCCAUGGCAGCGCACAGCUUGGCCCUCCGUGCAGGGACCUGUGCUGGAGCUCGGCCCCACGGCUCCAGGCAAGCGGUGGAGAAGGCGUCUGGCCCAGCAGCGGCUGUUGCAGUCUGGGGCCGGGCAGCAGCCCUGUGUCAGUGCGCCUGCCCGGGUGCCAGGCGUGCUGUGCUGCCCCGGUGCAGACAGGCUGGUUAGGGGAGAAAUACAGGACUUGCUGUCCCACACCCGUCCUGCAGCCUGUCUUUUCUCGCUGGUUGUUAAGGCUGGGCAGUCUGGCAGGGAAAGGGCACGGGAUGGACAGGAAGGCAGGGACAGACGCCCUUCACACCCAGCCAGCAUCGCUCCCUGCCCAGCCCAGGGGCGGCAGGAUGCCGCUGGGCUUGCAGCUGGGGUGAGCCACCCACGGCAGCUCCGCGGGAGCAGGCACUGGCUCUGCUGCGGGCCUGCCCGCCCCGACGCCCCUUCCUGCAUCCCGCCGGAGCCGCCGCGUCUCUCCAGGAGAUGGUGCUGCCAGCACGCCGCAGCGCCCGGCUCGUCCCUGCGCAGCCUCGUGCCGCCAGCCGGCCUGGCAGAGCCUCCCCGCGUGGGCUGGGCAGAGGGAGCGGAACCGUCCCCGCCUGCUCCCACGGGCUGCGGGGAGAGCGGGACCCCAUGCCCGAGCAGCCUGCCGCCGGGAAGCACGGUGCCGUCAACGCGUCAUCCCGGGCGCCUCCGGGCAGAGCAGCGCAUGGGCGCUGUGAGCCCCCGGCACGCUGCCUGCAGUGCUGCGCAGCCCGGGCAGAGCAGCGCGCUGCCGUCCUGCCGAGCCUCCAGCCCCACCAGCCUGCGGGACCGGCCCCGUCCCGCCAGUCUGUGCCGCGGGCUGCAGAGCAGGUCACCUGGCGGUGCCAGGGAGGCCUGGGCUCAGGCCUUGCCAUGCUGCUGCAUUGCACCCUGCUUCCCCUUCCUCAUCCCCAGCCUUCGAACGAGUGGGAGCCAGGGCAGAUGCACCCCGAUUUCGGCACCCUCUGGGUACCUUCCCUUGUUAGGGACCCCACACCGCCGUGCCUGCCAGAUCCCAGAUCACCAGCCCGCGUGUCCCGAAGGGGCUCCGGCCAGGCCUGCCRGA